CGCAAGGCACUGUAUUUAGUGUAUUCAUUUACCAGUUAUAUAGUGUUGUUGUUUAUGUCUCUAAGACUACAAGGAGAUACAACGAUGAGAACAACAGGAAGUGUGUUGGUGGUUGUUAUCUGGUCUGUAACAGGAACUAUGGCAACAAAAUGCGGACAAACAAGCCAAGUGACAGUGUCUCCCACCAACCCAGUGUGGGGACAGAAAGUGAUAUUGACCUGUAACGACCCCUGUAGUCUGAUUGACAACCAAAACCACACCUACAUCUGGUACAAGAACGGACAACGUCUUGUCGACUCCACCAUCUGUAAAUACACUGAUAUCAGUUAUUAUACACACAGUUACUCCUGUGCUGUAAAUGGUUCUGAGGGUCUCCGCUCUCCUGUAGUCUGUAUUCUGGGUAAGUCCUGUUUCAGUGUGACUUACACCCAUCAGAGAAUCUCUGCCUUGAAGGGCUCAACAGUGGAUCUUC